rnacentral:rRNA from 1 species
UCGGGAAUAUUGGACAAUGGGCGCAAGCCUGAUCCAGCCAUGCCGCGUGAGUGACGAAGGCCUUAGGGUUGUAAAGCUCUUUUGGCGGGGAAAAUAAUGACGGUACCCGCAGAAUAAGCUCCGGCUAACUUCGUGCCAGCAGCCGCGGUAAUACGAAGGGAGCUAGCGUUGUUCGGAAUCACUGGGCGUAAAGCGCACGUAGGUGGGCAGUUAAGUCAGGGGUGAAAGCCCGAGGCUCAACCUCGGAAUUGCCUCUGAUACUGGCUGUCUAGAGUUCGAGAGAGGUGAGUGGAAUUCCUAGUGUAGAGGUGAAAUUCGUAGAUAUUAGGAAGAACACCAGUGGCGAAGGCGGCCAACUGGCUCGAUACUGACGCUGAGGUGCGAAAGCGUGGGGAGCAAACAGGAUUAGAUACCCCAGUAGUCCCUGAGCGGGCUGGCAAGGCGCAU